CAAGCAGUGGGAGCACAGGUUUACCUGUGUGACUGCGUACCUUUUGUAUAAUGGGUCAGCGACUUAUAUUCUGUAGCAAGGUUAACCGAAUAGGGGAGCCGGAGGGAAACCGAGUCUUAAUUGGGCGUUAAGUUGCAGGGUAUAGACCCGAAACCCGGUGAUCUAGCCAUGGGCAGGUUGAAGGUUGGGUAACACUAACUGGAGGACCGAACCGACUAAUGUUGAAAAAUUAGCGGAUGACCUGUGGCUGGGGGUGAAAGGCCAAUCAAACCGGGAGAUAGCUGGUUCUCCCCGAAAGCUAUUUAGGUAGCGCCUCGUGAAUUCAUCUCCGGGGGUAGAGCACUGUUUCGGCUAGGGGGCCAUCCCGGCUUACCAACCCGAUGCAAACUGCGAAUACCGGAGAAUGUUAUCACGGGAGACACACGGCGGGUGCUAACGUCCGUCGUGAAGAGGGAAACAACCCAGACCGCCAGCUAAGGUCCCAAAGUCAUGGUUAAGUGGGAAACGAUGUGGGAAGGCCCAGACAGCCAGGAUGUUGGCUUAGAAGCAGCCAUCAUUUAAAGAAAGCGUAAUAGCUCACUGGUCGAGUCGGCCUGCGCGGAAGAUGUAACGGGGCUAAACCAUGCACCGAAGCUGCGGCAGCGACGCUUAUGCGUUGUUGGGUAGGGGAGCGUUCUGUAAGCCUGUGAAGGUGGCCUGUGAGGGUUGCUGGAGGUAUCAGAAGUGCGAAUGCUGACAUAAGUAACGAUAAAGCGGGUGAAAAGCCCGCUCGCCGGAAGACCAAGGGUUCCUGUCCAACGUUAAUCGGGGCAGGGUGAGUCGACCCCUAAGGCGAGGCCGAAAGGCGUAGUCGAUGGGAAACGGGUUAAUAUUCCCGUACUUGGUGUUACUGCGAAGGGGGGACGGAGAAGGCUAUGUUGGCCGGGCGACGGUUGUCCCGGUUUAAGCGUGUAGGUGUGUGUUCCAGGUAAAUCCGGUUCACUUUAACACUGAGGCGUGAUGACGAGGCACUACGGUGCUGAAGUAACAAAUGCCCUGCUUCCAGGAAAAGCCUCUAAGCAUCAGGUAACAUCAAAUCGUACCCCAAACCGACACAGGUGGUCAGGUAGAGAAUACCAAGGCGCUUGAGAGAACUCGGGUGAAGGAACUAGGCAAAA
rnacentral:rRNA from 1 species